rfam:Triticum aestivum genome assembly, contig: Triticum_aestivum_CS42_TGACv1_scaffold_405149_5BL
AUCAUACUCCCUUGUCCGGAAAUACUUGUCAAAGAAAUGCAUAAAAAUGAAUGUAUCUAGAACUAAAAUACAUCUAGAUAUAUCCAUUCCUCCGACAAGUAUUUUCGAAGGAAGGGAGUAUAAC